AAAAUAUUGUAUUUUUUUUGUCAUAAAAUUUAGCGGUGGUAAAAAUGUUUUCCGGCCACCUCACUUCGUUUUCCUGCACUAAACAUCAAUCUUUCUUAGGCGUUUUUUUCCCGCUUCAGCUGUGACCAAGGUAAGUGUUGAUGGCUGCAGAUUCAAGGAAACGCACAUUGGAGGCUUUUGAGAGAAGAAUUCAUACUGAACAUAUCCUCAAAGAAAAGAAAAACAAAAUGGCAAUAAAUGAUGUGAAAUGAACUAUUCUUUGCAACUUCUACUUCUAAUCAUUCGUCCUUGCAUUUAUUGGAUACGCCCAAUAAAAGGAGUUUCAGUCUUUUUGUGUUGCCGUUUCACAAGACAAUGAAGAUGGUUUAGAAUGUGCCCAACUUUCUGUGACUGUGAAUGAAAUCUGCUCACAACUAAUGGGAAUGUAUUUCAUUUCAAGAAUUUCAUGAUCAACUUCUCUUUUAUAAUUCCAUAAAGUCAAUGGUCAAUCUCCUCUGAAUUAUGAACUUUAAAAAAUAGUUUAUUGGAGGAAUAAUAUAUGGAUCUCAAAAGUAACCUUUUAAUCUAUUUACGACCUUGGAAAGCCGCAAUGUAAAUGUCCCAGCUCCAAAUCUAACCAAAAUGUUAUAAUUUCUUAAUUUUUGAAAUUUUGUAAGAUGUAUAUUUUACCAUGACUAAAUAAAUAGUUGGAUAUUCUUUAUCCUUUAAUUUCUAAGGUUUUAUUUUCCCAGUUCUAAAUUGACUUAUGACUUAAGUUCUGCAGUUUUCUGCUGAAAGAGGAGGUUCAGUUCCUGGAAUAUUGCAUGAACUUCUUCGGAAGGGAAAUGCAGCCCUAAAGUACAUGCAAGGAUCUAGGAACAUGAAAAUCAACAACUGGAUACUUCUUGAUAAUUGUGUACAAGGACGUGCACUUUCUUCAUCUUCUAAAACUAGGGCUUUGCAAAUUUAUUCAAAACGCUCUAUAAGCACAUGUCCGUGAAACAACAUAAAAAAACAUGGAUAAUUGGAUUUUCCUCAAGAGUUUCAUAAGUAAACUUCAGAUUUGAUAUGUUCAAGCCAAUGCAUGUAAUGUGGAAAGACUAUAUUAGACUGCUGCUUAAAUCCACUGAGUACUAUUUUGGAAAAAUCAAUUUUUGCUUGGUGUAGAUCUACAUGGUGCUAUUAUUUUAGGUUUGAGCACCCUCUAUUCUAUUUUUGCUUUUGGAUGAGUUGUGAAGACCUACAAUGGAAAAUGCAAAACCACUUUCUUUAUAGGGUGCUUUUGGGAUAAUUACAAGGACUGUUAUUUUGCCAUUGAUUGGAUGUUAAUUAUUUCCCCGCAGAUGCUUAUGUCUUGAUGUGUAAUUACUUCAUAUGCAUUGAAAGAAAGGUGUGCUAAAAUUGUUGCUGCUGCUGUACUCGAACCGUCAAAACCUAUUUUUGGUGUUUUUAGGAAGAGUUAGUGAAUUUUAGUAGUAGUACUUCUAGCAGUCAUUGUGUGUUUAUUAUUGCAAUAAGUCCAAUAGUAAAGAUGAGCUUCUGGUUGGUUCAGGUCAGACCUGGUGCCCAGGUCUUCUCUGGGAAAGUUUCCCACUUCAAUUCUCCCUUUCCAUCCCCACUGGCAUGCAUAACCUUUUUCAUAGUCAUUACAUUUGAAUUUUUUUUAAAGUUGCUAGUAAAUUAUGGUGAAUGUUUAGGCGCGUAAAUGAAUCAAAUUUUUUAAAACGCAUUUCUAUGGCGAAUGUUGUUUUAGUUUAAUGUUAUCAUGUUGAAAUUUUUCUAUAUCUGAACUCCUUGUAGAUUACUCAACAUGCACUGUCUUUUCAAUUUAGAAAAAAGAUUGGACUUUUGGUAUUCUUCUUAAAUAAUCUAUGUUUUGUAGUUGUGGAGAGUAAACUAACCUAUUAUGUUGGAAUCGGUGGCAUCAUGAUUCGCGAAACUGGCAAAGCUUUUGGGAUAGUUACUGAAGAAAAUAAAUUCCGAGCUGUUCUGAAGAAGGGUUCUGUGUUUGUAUUCCCAGUUGAUUGCUGGAAAGUCACUCUGCAUCGAGAUAAUCUCAAUUCAAGAAAGAUUGGAUUAUGAUAUAGUGACAACCCUUCAAUUGUAAGUGUCAUCUUUGUGACUUUCACGUGGAGACGUCAUUUUUUUAUGAGGGUACUUCAUCUUCUUAUUGAGUGAGCCUUGUUAAUGUCCUCUUCUGGUUUCUAUAACCUCGUUAUUCUAAGAAUUUGACGAUGAUUAUCUUACAUUAAUCUUCUAAGUGUAUGUUUAGAUUGACCGUGGGAUUUGGCAGAAUCAUGGUGUAUCCAUGUAGUUAUGGUAAAAGCUAUACUUUGAAGCUUCAAUAAAAUUACAGGGCCAGUGUAUUUUCACCAAACUCACCGUUAAUCCACUUCUGGAGGUAAAUCAUGUGGAAAUCGUUGCAGUAAUUGUAUAUCAUGUAAUUCUUCUGCACCCAUGUCCACCUCCCUUGGCCCAUGGCAUCCAGCUCCUGUGAAAGCCAGGAACCUUUGGAGGAAGCAUUCGAAGCAGAACUUGAAUCAAAAGAUGUUGCUCCAGAAGACUAGAUGCAAGCCUCGGCAUUAAAAUUUCUGUAGGAUGCUGUGAAUGGAGCUUGUGUCCUAUCUCUUUUUAACAAGUCCACCUCUUGUUGCUAGUCAUAUAUAUUCCAUAAACUUGAAUAUAUUCUCAUUGGCUGCUUAUUUGGGAAAGGGACACCAAUAGUUUCUGAGUUCUUGAACUCUCUAAUGGAAGUGCCAUCAACUGAGAAUCUGUACAAAAAAGAAUUUUAAAAAAUGAUUUAAGUCUAUGCAUGCAGUGUAUUUAAGAAUUCGGGCUGUAUGCCUAUUUUGUUGCAGGACGUAGCUAGUGUUAGAUUUGUUUGCAAGUUAUCCCUUAAUUAAUUUUUGCUCUUUUUUUGACGAAGUUAAUUAAUUUAGCCUUUAGAAA